CCCCGACUAGCUCUGUCAGCAGAGCAUGAGAUUCAUAAUCUCAGGGUAGUGGGUUUGUGUCCCACGUCGGGUG
rnacentral:tRNA from 1 species